GCGGCACACCGCCCCGGGAGGCAGCGCCGAACCCGGAACGCCGGACGCUGCCGGACCCGCGCGCGGCCGCCGCCGAGCCCCAGCCGCCGCGCGGCGCUGCGCCCAGCGCACAAUUCCCGGAAACCCAGAUACCUGAGUGCACGCACCCGUGCAUACACAGCGUACACGAGCGUGCAUCCAUGUUUACACAGGCCGGGGUGGUUUACACUUCGGGGAAGGACUCCUGUGCACACAUCUACACACAUAGGAAGUUUAGGAGAAGAGAGCUACACCAAACGGAGGCACAGGACACGCUUAGGGUCCCAAGUAAGGAGUCCCAGACGACACCCCCGCCCCGUUCCACCCCUCACACACACACUCAAGCAGGACUCGCUUCAGGAAAGCUUCAGGAUCUGAUUUGAAUCACUGCCCAGUCCAACCCCAGUGGCACCCCCCCCCCAAUGCCUGCCGAGGGGAGCAGAAGGGUCCAGCCUGUUCCUAUUAAAAGAAAAAAAGGGGGUGGGGGUGGUGCAGUAUUUGAAAGUUUUCUUUUUUCAAAGACAUUUCUCAAGGGAUUUCCUUCCAUCCUCUCCUCUUCCUCUCUUCCAUUCCACUCCCUCCACAAUGACCCCCCCUUUGCACCCCCCCCCGCCCGUCCCUAUGAGUCAAACUUCAGCAAUGUGCCCAGUGUCCCCCAGUGCAUUACAGUGGAUCACAGAAAUGUUCCAGUCUGUGAGUCGGAAUGCAGCCGCCUCCAGCCCUCCCUCAGCUAAUAAACUCAGCUGAGGGCUGGCUUUGCACUACAGCCCUCCUUGCCUCCCCCCGAAUCUCUUCUUAGACCACGGAGGUCAGAUUCAAGGGUCAGGGGCUGAGGACCUUCCCACUGCGCUGCCUGGCUUGGCUUAUCAGUCCGUUGCCUCCAGCAAUCUGUUGGGUCAGAAAACUGGGGCCUGGGACAGGGAGAGGUCAUCCACCAGGAACACUGGGCUCCCCUGCAUCUGAGGUGCCCAGCCACUGAAAAAGCAGCUUCAUUCUGAUCACAUUCUACUCACCGAGUCCUAGGAACUCCCGGCAUCUUUAGAAAGGGAAACGGAGACAGAGCUAGAGAUGAGUUGAGUCUUUUCGCCAUGCUGCUGAACAGCCUCAGUGACGGGUCAGCAGGUCUCCCUACCUGUCCAUCUCUUGAUGAUCAGCAGCUGACUUUAACCCCUCUCUACCCGUUCAUGGGUACCACCAGCUCUUUAGGAUCCAUGGCCUCUUGCAGUAUGGUACCACACGCAUCCCUGCCCAGCGCUUCCUGCUAGGUUCCUCGGCCGAAUUGACUAUGAUCACAUCCCUGUCUGCUAGCUGCUCCCCAUUCUGUCCUCACACUUACCCACUCCCUAGCCUUGACCUGAGACACUCCGGACAGAGCAAAUGCCCUCGGCCCCCUUUCUCCCGUGGUAUUGACAUCCCUUGACUUCACAGUACUACCUCCUUUGAAAUGUCCCGUGAUUCCCAUAGCCGGAAGGAUUUUCCUUUUCCUUGAAGGACUCCACCCCAGCACUAUAGGUUUUUCUCUCCACACUGACCUUCACCCGUCUAGUCUAGUCGCCUUCCCCACAAGCAUUCGAGAAAAGAUGCCAAGCUUGAGGGUACUACCUCAGCUGUGGCUGCGGUUUCUCCCAGCGUUUGGCACAGAAUUCAAACUCGGUGCGUUCUUGGUUGAAUGAUGUCAGAUGUUCAUGGCCUCCAAGGAUCAUCCUCCGGCUGGACAUCUCUUUUACAGUCCAGUGAUUUAGCCAUAUUGCUCUGCAAGACACGCUUGCCCUUGUACUGAGCCCCCUUCCAAACUCCCCUUAGAGGCCUGCAGCCCUUCAGAAAAACCACUGGUUAGAGCAGACCGCCAUCCUCUCUCUCUACCUCCCUCCUCCUGUAACCAUACAUCGUCCCUACGCACCUGUCUCCCUUUCCUGGGGCUGUCACGGUGCUCAGGUUCUUCUUUGGUUUGUUUUUUAUCUCCUUGUUGGCUGAUUUCUGCAAAUACAGCAUUCAUGUAUUUAUUUGUGAAUCCGCCUUUUCUUUUUACUCUAACCACUGACUUCUGAGUGCUUGGAGUCAAGAUGGGUGGCCGCCUGUCUAGGUUCACAGUGCCUACCUAACCUGUGGCUUUUUCGGCACACCCCAGGACUCACUGCCCUCAAAGUGUAGGCAGAGAGGAAAACAUCAUGUACAACAAGUGUCUGGGAUGCUGAACUGGGUCUCUCCUGCUGCUGCCAGAUUUACCUAGGACUCCCAACAGCUCCUGCGCUACAGUGGAUUCCCAAGCCAGUUUCUAACCCAUACUCCCUAGUGGCAUAUGUUAGCUUCCAGGAACCCCUAGAGAUACGAUAGAAAAAGGCCGGCUACCUCCUUCUUGCUGUGGUGGGUGGUUACCAGGGGAGGUUUCUAAAGAAUUCGCGUCUCGACUUUUUUUUUUUUUUAGUGGCUGGAGAGACAGCCGUGGGUGCUGGGAAGCAUCUCGACUUCUUACAGCCUGCUCCGUUGGACACCUGGUCUAAGAGACUGGCCCCAUAGGAUCCACCUCGGGUUCUUCAAAGCUCCCCUCGCUCUCUGGACAACACAGAGCCUUCAGGCCCGAACAGGAGAGACGCUGUGCCAGGGUCUUCCACGCGGCGUAGCCUGGUUAUUUGAGGUUUCUGUUGACCUCUGCGCAUCACUCCAGAUGACCCGUUUCCUGCCGCGCUGAACCCAGACAUAGGGACUCAUCUCUGUCCUCCACCUUUCUCUGUUACGUGGCGCAGGCAGGAUCAACAGGCUGUCCUGCAGGUAGGCUGAGACUAGAGACUAGACACCUCCAGCCUUCUGCAGAGGAGCCUGAAGGGGGCCGGGACCUGGUUCAAGAUGAAUGGUGGAGAACUUACCUGUGAGCUGUGAGGAGAUCGAAAGCUGGGCUGGUCCUGUGACCUGUACACAGGACGGACUCCUGGAAGCUAAACUCCAACUCAGAAGCAAGCCAGACUUGAAGGAAGUUUCCAGCAAAUGUGUUGCUCCGUUUUGCCUUGGGGAGGCUGGCCACUGAGAAGCUACAGACAUCUAGUAGGUGCUUUGCCUGGCUCCCAUCUCCAGGGAGCUUGACACUCACAUCCGCUGGGUCAUCACUGACUCCUCAGCCUAUAGCCUGAGUGUUGUGGAAUAUUUAACUACAUAGAGAUGUGUUACAUUUGUUUAUGGUGCGUUUAUUGAAUUAUGAAACAACGUGUUGCUGUUCCACCUUGCCUGCCUAAGGCACCUGAUUGGUCUAAUAAAAAGCUGAAUGGCCAAUAGCUAGGUAGGAGAGGGAUAGGUGGGGCUACCAGGCAGAAAGAAUAAAUAGGAGAG